rnacentral:rRNA from 1 species
GACGUAGGGCGCGAGCGUUGUCCGGAUUUAUUGGGCGUAAAGAGCUCGUAGGCGGCUUGUCGCGUCGUCCGUGAAAACCUGCAGCUCAACUGCAGGCUUGCGGUCGAUACGGGCAGGCUGGAGUUCGGUAGGGGAGACUGGAAUUCCUGGUGUAGCGGUGAAAUGCGCAGAUAUCAGGAGGAACACCGGUGGCGAAGGCGGCAUCCUGGACCAAUUCUGACGCUGAGGAGCGAAAGCCAGGGGAGCAAACGGG